rnacentral:lncRNA from 1 species
GUCGGUCACGUCACCGAGUGGUCCGCCGGCAAUACGGUAACCCUCAACAGCUCCCAUCAAGACAACUUGGCAAGCCCAGAUAGCCAAGAUGCUUUGGGCGUGGAUCAAGUUUGGGUUGCCCAGGUAGUUGAGUCCACCCUCCUGGAAGAUUUGGGAUCCAGCCUUGAACCACACAGCCUCACCGAACUGGACUCCAUUCCGAGACAAGAGCUCGGGGAAGACGCAUCCAAGGGCUCCAAGCAUGGCCCAUCUGCAGUGGAUCACCUCGAGCUCACGAUUCUUGGCAAAGGUCUCGGGAUCAGCUGACAGCCCAGCAGUGUCCCAACCGUAGUCACCAGGGAAUUCGCCGGUGAGGUAGCUUGGGGGCUCACCGGAAAAUGGGCCCAAGUACUUAACACGGUCUCGCCCGUACCACGGGCUGCCAGAUGGGGCAGGCCUGGAAGUUCUCUUCAUUGAGAUCCUUCCAUUUCCCAUCAGCUCAGGGGCGGAGGGGUUGAGUUUCACCGCCUUUCCGGCAAAGGAGGGGGAGGAGAGAGCCAUAGUUGAGGCAGCCAUUGUGUGAUUGAGAUUAGCACCUGAAUGGGACUAUUGAAGGCAGUAGGAAUUAUACAAUGUUGCUUGUGGCUU